rnacentral:rRNA from 1 species
GACGUAGGGCGCGAGCGUUGUCCGGAUUUAUUGGGCGUAAAGAGCUCGUAGGCGGCUUGUCGCGUCGACCGUGAAAACUUGGGGCUCAACCCCAAGCCUGCGGUCGAUACGGGCAGGCUAGAGUUCGGUAGGGGAGACUGGAAUUCCUGGUGUAGCGGUGAAAUGCGCAGAUAUCAGGAGGAACACCGGUGGCGAAGGCGGCAUCCUGGACCGACACUGACACUGAGGAGCGAAAGCCAGGGGAGCAAACGGG